UCUUGAGUUUCUUGGACAUCGUCACAUGAAAUAAUAUACGACCGAGCUUGCUCCCGACCAAGCACGAUCAGAUUCCUAGGGAGUUCUUCGGCAGACGAUUUCUAUGCACCGGCUCCAUGAGACGAAGAACAAAACAGCAUGCCACCUGACUGAUGACCCACCCACCGUUUACCCGGCCCCAGGAGCUAGAAGGCCUUGAGACAAAAGCUCGGGCAGGAUCCUGACGGGUGCAACAGAAUAUCAUCUACGAUGCUUGUCCCACGGCCUGACUGAAUAAUAUUUAUAUAAUCAAUGGAAGGAAAAAACAGUAGAACAUUGAAAUUGGCUCGUAGGCAAGACGGAAGAUGGUCAAAACCGGUCAGAAAAUGAUGGCCUAGACACGGUUGGAGAGCUCUUGUUGGCAGAAACCACCUGAAGAUGGUCAGAUGACAUCAGCAACCUUG